GGUUAAGCGACUAAGCGUACACGGUGGAUGCCCUGGCAGUCAGAGGCGAUGAAGGACGUGCUAAUCUGCGAAAAGCGUCGGUAAGGUGAUAUGAACCGUUAUAGCCGGCGAUGUCCGAAUGGGGAAACCCAGUGCAAUUCGUUGCACUAUCGUUAACUGAAUACAUAGGUUAACGAGGCGAACCGGGGGAACUGAAACAUCUAAGUACCCCGAGGAAAAGAAAUCAACCGAGAUUCCCCCAGUAGCGGCGAGCGAACGGGGAGCAGCCCAGAGUCUGAAUCAGCUUGUGUGUUAGUGGAACGGUCUGGAAAGUCCGACGGUACAGGGUGAUAGUCCCGUACACCAAAAUGCACAGGUUGUGAACUCGAAGAGUAGGGCGGGACACGUGGUAUCCUGUCUGAAUAUGGGGGGACCAUCCUCCAAGGCUAAAUACUCCUGACUGACCGAUAGUGAACCAGUACCGUGAGGGAAAGGCGAAAAGAACCCCGGCGAGGGGAGUGAAAAAGAACCUGAAACCGUGUACGUACAAGCAGUGGGAGCACCUUCGGGUGUGACUGCGUACCUUUUGUAUAAUGGGUCAGCGACUUAUAUUCUGUAGCAAGGUUAACCGUAUAGGGGAGCCGCAGGGAAACCGAGUCUUAACUGGGCGUUAAGUUGCAGGGUAUAGACCCGAAACCCGGUGAUCUAGCCAUGGGCAGGUUGAAGGUUGGGUAACACUAACUGGAGGACCGAACCGACUAAUGUUGAAAAAUUAGCGGAUGACUUGUGGCUGGGGGUGAAAGGCCAAUCAAACCGGGAGAUAGCUGGUUCUCCCCGAAAGCUAUUUAGGUAGCGCCUCGUGAACUCAUCUUCGGGGGUAGAGCACUGUUUCGGCUAGGGGGUCAUCCCGACUUACCAACCCGAUGCAAACUACGAAUACCGAAGAAUGUUAUCACGGGAGACACACGGCGGGUGCUAACGUCCGUCGUGAAGAGGGAAACAACCCAGACCGCCAGCUAAGGUCCCAAAGUCACAGUUAAGUGGGAAACGAUGUGGGAAGGCACAGACAGCCAGGAUGUUGGCUUAGAAGCAGCCAUCAUUUAAAGAAAGCGUAAUAGCUCACUGGUCGAGUCGGCCUGCGCGGAAGAUGUAACGGGGCUAAACUGUGCACCGAAGCUGCGGCAGCGACACUAUGUGUUGUUGGGUAGGGGAGCGUUCUGUAAGCCUGCGAAGGUGGCCUGUGAGGGUUGCUGGAGGUAUCAGAAGUGCGAAUGCUGACAUAAGUAACGAUAAUGCGGGUGAAAAGCCCGCACGCCGGAAGACCAAGGGUUCCUGUCCAACGUUAAUCGGGGCAGGGUGAGUCGACCCCUAAGGCGAGGCCGAAAGGCGUAGUCGAUGGAAAACAGGUUAAUAUUCCUGUACUUGGUGUUACUGCGAAGGGGGGACGGAGAAGGCUAUGUUAGCCGGGCGACGGUUGUCCCGGUUUAAGCAUGUAGGCGGAGGUUCCAGGUAAAUCCGGUACCUUAUUAACGCUGAGGUGUGAUGACGAGGCACUACGGUGCUGAAGUAACAAAUGCCCUGCUUCCAGGAAAAGCCUCUAAGCAUCAGGUAACAUUAAAUCGUACCCCAAACCGACACAGGUGGUCAGGUAGAGAAUACCAAGGCGCUUGAGAGAACUCGGGUGAAGGAACUAGGCAAAAUGGUGCCGUAACUUCGGGAGAAGGCACGCUGAUAUGUAGGUGAAGUCCCUGCGGAUGGAGCUGAAAUCAGUCGAAGAUACCAGCUGGCUGCAACUGUUUAUUAAAAACACAGCACUGUGCAAACACGAAAGUGGACGUAUACGGUGUGACGCCUGCCCGGUGCCGGAAGGUUAAUUGAUGGGGUUAUCCGUAAGGAGAAGCUCUUGAUCGAAGCCCCGGUAAACGGCGGCCGUAACUAUAACGGUCCUAAGGUAGCGAAAUUCCUUGUCGGGUAAGUUCCGACCUGCACGAAUGGCGUAAUGAUGGCCAGGCUGUCUCCACCCGAGACUCAGUGAAAUUGAACUCGCUGUGAAGAUGCAGUGUACCCGCGGCAAGACGGAAAGACCCCGUGAACCUUUACUAUAGCUUGACACUGAACAUUGAGCCUUGAUGUGUAGGAUAGGUGGGAGGCUUUGAAGCGUGGACGCCAGUCUGCGUGGAGCCAACCUUGAAAUACCACCCUUUAAUGUUUGAUGUUCUAACGUUGGCCCCUUAUCGGGGUUGCGGACAGUGUCUGGUGGGUAGUUUGACUGGGGCGGUCUCCUCCCAAAGAGUAACGGAGGAGCACGAAGGUUAGCUAAUCCUGGUCGGACAUCAGGAGGUUAGUGCAAUGGCAUAAGCUAGCUUGACUGCGAGCGUGACGGCGCGAGCAGGUGCGAAAGCAGGUCAUAGUGAUCCGGUGGUUCUGAAUGGAAGGGCCAUCGCUCAACGGAUAAAAGGUACUCCGGGGAUAACAGGCUGAUACCGCCCAAGAGUUCAUAUCGACGGCGGUGUUUGGCACCUCGAUGUCGGCUCAUCACAUCCUGGGGCUGAAGUAGGUCCCAAGGGUAUGGCUGUUCGCCAUUUAAAGUGGUACGCGAGCUGGGUUUAGAACGUCGUGAGACAGUUCGGUCCCUAUCUGCCGUGGGCGCUGGAGAAUUGAGGGGGGCUGCUCCUAGUACGAGAGGACCGGAGUGGACGCAUCACUGGUGUUCGGGUUGUCAUGCCAAUGGCAUUGCCCGGUAGCUAAAUGCGGAAGAGAUAAGUGCUGAAAGCAUCUAAGCACGAAACUUGCCCCGAGAUGAGUUCUCCCUGAGACUUUAAGUCUCCUGAAGGAACGUUAAAGACGAUGACGUUGAUAGGUCGGGUGUGUAAGCGUAGCGAUACGUUGAGCUAACCGAUACUAAUGAACCGUGAGGCUUAACCUU
rnacentral:rRNA from 1 species